rnacentral:lncRNA from 1 species
GAGAGAGAGGAUGGAAGAAGAAGAGGAAGAAGGCUAUGGAAACCGGUGUUUCUUCUACAGGCAGGAGAGGAGGCAAGGGCGUUAUCUAACAUCCCCCCCUCCUGUUGAUCCGCCGGGCAGCCAGAUCUCCGCCACUCACAUGGGGAGGAAUGAGUCCAGGGGGAUCUCCUCCCAUGGACGACUGGAACACGUCAACCAGGGGUUGUGGAUC